CGGGAUCCAUGGACAUGGUUUGGUCUGAGAAACCAGCAGAAUUGUUGAAGGUUCCACAGCAUGGAAAAAACCUUCAGGUCCCUUCCCAAGCAGAGAUGCCUCUGUCUCCCAUAACGGCAGGAGCCUCCUCUUCAGAGAAGCCGAUGGUCAAAGAUCUUGUUUCAGACUCAUAUUCCUCAGAUCGAGAGUUCCCAGGACUGAGUGGACGGCCUGGUUACCUACAAGACUUCUUAAUGCCAGAUGAAAGUGAAAGAGGAGAGGGAGCCCGGUCCAUAAAAAAAGAAAUCAUAUCCAAGAUAAGUACACUUAUUCUACUCAGUUGCUGUUCUCUGUGUCCAUUUUUUAUUUGUCUCCAACAUUUUUUGUUGCCUCCACAUACUGUUCAUGAUUUAAAUCAUCUGAAUAUUCUGCCUUACAGUGAAAAAAAAAUAAUACAUAAUAAGAGAAUAAAUGUUUGCUCACAAGGGACAAAUUGA
rnacentral:lncRNA from 1 species